UGUGGGUUCUGUUGGACCAAAGCAGCUUUCAGCUUCUAUGCACCACAAAUCUGGAUCAAACUUCCAGAAAAGUGCCAAACGGCCGAAACACUGAGUUUCUUCAAAUCACGGCUGAAAACCUGUUUAGAGCUCCAGUUCAUAACUCUAUUUGCUCUGAUUAACGAUGACAACAAUGGACCUGGAUAAAUGUAACGUCUUACUGGUUUCUAUGGUUUUAUGAUCUGAACUUUGAACUUCCUUGUUGCUAAAAUGUGCUACACAAGUGAAGCUGAUUAAACAUUAACUUUGGUGUUUGUGUGUACAGUUAAACUGGGUGCAGUGGCUUUCUUCAACUUUGCUUGUAAUGCCUCUUAUGUUUGUGUCGUAAACGUUGCUUUAAAUUUUAUUUUUUUUAGUGCGAGAGUCGCUGACGGAAUAUUACGGAAAAUGUUGAUCAAAGACAAAAAAGUGGCCAAAAAAGACCAAAAAUUUCUGGACCAAAUUCAAAUAUUUACAAGAAAAAAGUAUCGUCUGACGUCAAAAAGUGGCAAAUUUACAAAUAUUUCCUUCCCUGCCCUCAAGAUUAUAAGACAUAAAUUUAUAAAGCUAUGCUCUGACACCAUGUUUCCUAACCACAGGCUCUCUGCUGUGCAUGUUUUAGCCUGGUUCAGAGGAAAGCCUGCUCAUCAGUUAUCAGGUCUGCUGAAGCAGAGAAACGUGUAAAACGUGCAGCGAGCCUCGAGAGCCGGGCUGAGGAACCACGAGCUGACGGUUCAAUUUACAGGAGAAAAAAUCAAAGAUUUCAUCUCAGGUUAAGGUGGUAAAUUAAGAAGAUUUGAAUCUGGAUAUUUUACAAUAUGGAAGUGGAAGUGCAGAGUUUUUUCCGGUAGCAGAACAAUAUCUCCCAAAUCCCAUGUGAGGCGUUAAAGCUGCAGUUUGCAACUUUUAUGAAAAAUAUAUUUUCUAUGUAUUUGUUAAAACUCUCACCAUGUUGUUACAGAUAAUCUGUGAAAAGAUUCAUCUCCUCCCUGAGCUACUAAUCCCGUCUGAAAAAUGCACCAAAAUCAACCAAUUAGAGCUAGGUGGAGGGGCUUAGCGCUGUCAAUCAACCUUAUGUACGUGCUGCUACAUAUGCCAAUGGUGGAGAAACAAUUUUCAGUUACAGGAAAACUGUUUGUUCAUUUUCCUUUAGAGAGAAAGUGGGGAAGGAGGGAGAAGGACGAGCAGCGCCGCACAACAUUGUGAUUGACAACACUAAGACCCGCCUCCUGGCUCUGGGAGAAGACAGACUGAUUUUUUUCACUGAUUAUCUAUUAUUUGAUUAUCUGUUAUCUCAUAAACAGUAACGACAUGGUGACAGUUUCAACAGAAAUUAAAAAAAAAAAUUUCAUAAAAAUUCCAUCCUGCAGCUUUAAUGCGAUUCUGCAGCCGGGACAAAUGGUUCUGAUCCAAAGAAACAAACCCAGAAAAUAUUCACAUGUGAAUCUCCUAAAUUUACCAGCUCAGUCUUGCAGGACCGUCUGUCACAAAUUUCUGGUUUUUUUAUUAAGUGUUUGUUUUCUAUAUCUGCAAAAUUAAUCUAGAAAAUUCCAAGUUUGUUUUUUGUGCCCACAUUUUUCCAGUGUGGGAACAAACCAGUUUUCCUCCACGCCUCUGUGAACUCAGCUGACAACUAAUCAGCACAUUUCAAUCAACAACUUUAAAUGCCACUUUGGCAGCAACUUUCCCACAUCGAAGGAAGUGAAACUUUACGGAGCGCAGAAAGAUGCCUGGUGAUGCAGCUCUGCUGGGAACAGGCUGCUUCCUUCCAGGACGCAUGUUUUCAUGUUGCAUCACAGCUUCCAGUGAAUUU